CUACGGGAGGCAGCAGUAGGGAAUCUUCCGCAAUGGACGAAAGUCUGACGGAGCAACGCCGCGUGAGUGAUGAAGGCUUUCGGGUCGUAAAACUCUGUUGUUAGGGAAGAACAAGUGCUAGUUGAAUAAGCUGGCACCUGACAUACCUACCAGAAGCAGAUG
rnacentral:rRNA from 1 species